ensembl:lncRNA
GCGAUGGGAGUGACCGAUGUGGUCAAACUGAAACUCUACUGCUACAUGGGCGUAGGUCUGCGCCCGCCCACUGCCUCGCUCUGGUCCCCACAGCCACCCACUAUUACGUCAGGCAGGGAAGCCAGUCUAUUUCCUCCCCCUUCUUUAUCUAAAGGAAGUGCCAAAAUAAGCACCGGCGGCGGAGCGGCCGAGCACCUUUCCCACUGGCCACUGAGUCGCCGUCUGAGGAAGAAGUCGCAGGAGCUUAACGCCCGCAGAAUCAACAUGAAGCCCUCCGGUGUUCUCGUGCUCUCCCUGCUCGCAUCCCUCCAUGUCUUCACACCAGGUGUGAGGCUGCAGACGACACAACCAACAAGCCCACCAGGAACAACCGCAAACCAAACAACACCGACGCAGAACAAGACAGCGUCCACAGCAGCGACCUCUUCAUCCACCACCGCAGGACCAUCAGGCAAAACAUCAGCCACAACAGCAGAACCAACAACACCAACACAAUCACCUCCAGCAGAAAUCCAACUAGGUUCAACCACAACACAAAGAGAUGCAACACCGACGCAGAACAAGUCAGCAUCCACAGCAGCGCCCUCUUCAUCCACCGCCACAGCCCAUCAUGUCACCAGCCCGAUUCCUGAGAACGGAAAACCUGAGCAGAAAACCCAUCAACCUGGGAGGACCACGACUUCCUCCGCAGCAUCUUCAGGCGGCACGAACGGCACCAGCACAGCUGAAAACAAGACAGACAAUCAAACUUUGACACCAAACACUCCUCUCGAUUCUAACACAGAGAAACCCAGAGAAACUGCACCUGCAGCUACAGCAGAGAAUGGCCCAGGUUCCCACUCUGGCAGUGAACAAAGAGUCCAAUCAGACAAAAGGUGGUGGUGGAUUCUGCUGCCCAUCGGCCUCGUGGGAGCUGCUGCUAUCAUUGUCAAGUUCAAAAGCAAGAAGGUCCACGUUAACUCGGAAACCGUCGAUAUUGGAACUGAGAACGCAUCUUUCCAGAGCAGACCCGAAAGCGCCAAAGAUGGUGUCAUGCUCCUCGGGGUGAAGUCAUCGGGUGGAGAAGACAAUGCUUCUGCGAGAUAAAAAAAAGAAGGCCGGCAACAUCCAGAACGGCCAGCGGUUGAGUCACACCUGUCGCCCACGCACCAAAUGGCUCAAGGAACAGUUCAGAUGUUUGAUUUUGUGAAUAUAUUGUGAAGGAGAAAAGUCUGCAUGAUUCUGUGUUGAACGCAUUUCUGUUUUUGACUGUGAUAAUUGAUCUCAGAUUAAGUGAACUUUUAGUUUCAACUACGAUAUCCUCCUACAUACAGUUAAUCUUUGAGUUGAAAAUAUGAGAUAAAUACUUUAAUAAAUGAACCACUCCCUGUGGACGUGAGUGAAUGAACUGCGCAUCCUCGACUUCAGUGUUCUGUUGAUGAAGAGAAACCUAAAAACACGUGAGGGACUAUAAUGCUUGAUGUAAUGUAAUGCAUCACCGUCCCUUUUCAUGGUUUUGUUUGUGUUGUUUCAUCAUGUAUGUGCCUUCAACUGUAACGGCAAGAAUAGAUUUGUUGGGUUUUCUUUGUGUGCCAUUACAGACGGCAGUUGAACUGAGGUUCUGAGCUUCAGAGGUGUGCUGCUUUUUACUUUUCAUGUGUUUCAGUGAAGUGUUUCGCAUUACGUUGUUAAAUAUUCCACCAUGCUUCUCCACUGGCAAAGUAUUUUAAACCCCCACCGUUUUCCUUGUAUGUCAGUGGUAUAAAUUCACCAUCAUUUUUUGUGUGUAACAAUUGAAGCACAAGAAACUAUUUUCAGUUGUAUUUAAAGACACCGUAACUGCUUCAUGGCUGGACUUUGUUGUUUUACACCUCAACAUCCUCAAUAAAUCACUAAAACAGUUCAGCUUUGCAGAUUCAGAUGAAAUUAUUUGGGGUUAUUUGAUUGUUAGUUUGGUUUAAUAUCACCAAUGUUAAAUGUUUAAAGCGAUUUUCAGCCACAUAUUUUUUUAACUCAUUUAGUAGCUUUUCUUAUGGCAAGUCAUUGAAUUCCGAAUUCCUGCCAUAUUUUUGUUUUUUAGUUUACAAAGACAUGAUGUUUUCUGUUCUGCUUGUAAAUGAGGUAUAAUGUGCUUUAACCACCUGGACUGGCGGUUCAGUAAUCUGCCACUAGAGGGAGCCACUGCUCAGCGCAAAAGCAAGAAAGGAGCCGCGGUUCUGGCCCAGUUCUGUUGUUUAUUACAGUCACAUUUCAUCGUGGGUGUUGACAGAAGAAUGAGACAUUGGCAACCGGUGUGAAAAUCCCGCUCUUCUUGAUCUUCUUAGCACAGCGCUCACACACAGCACCGCAGAUACUUCACAACCAAGCUCCUUGUGUUGUGAUUUUCAUGGAACUAAUUAAAUGUCAUACUAGCUUCUGAAUUCACGGGGCCUUUUGUAGCUGUGCCGGCUUUAUAUUCGUGGCCUUUGUAAGGUGAGACCGGGCAGCGACUUCGACCGUGGCCCUCAAAAGAGACAGUGAGCAGACGGGCCGCUGUGGUACCGGCCGAGUUACGGCCAGGAUGUCAUGGCCGGCCGGUCACCCUCUUUAGGGCCAAGUGCAUCUCUGAUGUGUCUGAGAGGGAAAAAUCAAUGUUAGAAAUGAAUUCAAUGGAGUGCCUUCGUUGCUGAAUAAUGCCAUCGUGAGGUCAGUCUUAUUGAUUUCAGACUGUGUGCUCUCGAGAACACAUUUCCACACAUUCGAUCUCUUGAUCCGCGUUACUUGCAUCACCGCAAACAUUACAGAUAAGAACAUUAGGAGUGUUUCUGUGGAUUAUCCGCAGAUUGUCUUGAAUCCAUUAGUCAACCAGCAAUUUUAAUUGAUUUGUUUUAGUUUUUCUGAUGCAUUUUCCUUGUUUGAUUCUUUUUGUAGCAUUUGAUAAAUUACACAAACGUGUAAAAAGCAGAGAUAACGGUUCAUUAGAUUCAGGUGGCCUUGGGUCUGUUUUAUUGCCUCAUGCUGCUCAUUUGUGCCAAACCUAGCACAGCUCUCUCAUCUGCCAAUGACAUGAUGGCAUGUCAAAGUCAAAUAAUUAACUUGAGCCGAUGCCGCGUUAAAACUUUUCUAUUUUCACAAACGGACUGUUGCAGGGCGUUCAUGCACCACCAAGUAACAGCAGCUGCUCCUUUCCACGAUCCAACCAGCGCCUUAGAUAUAUGACGAAUAAGUGAAUAUAUCGUGUGCGCUGGCUCUAACAAACAAAAACAUACCAAAUGAUACGUGAGGAAACCUACUUCUUUACUUGAGAAAUGCCAUCUAUGUGCAAGGCACAUGCACUGCAAACACACAUGCACUUGCAAACCGGCAUCUCCUGCGGUCGAGAAGUGCCGAUCAGCAAAAAGGCUCCAGUUGUUGAAUUUCAUGGGGGAGGGAGGAGCAGGGGGUGGUGUCAGCCUGGCAUGCCGGGCGUCUUGAUGGGGGAUAACAGAAGGUUCAUGGAUGGAUUAGUAACCUGAAACACAACACCUUUUAUCUUGUGCCUCAGGAGUUGGCACGCGGAGGUAAUUCAGCAGCAGAUUUUGGUGGACUCGCCUUACCGAUGCCCUGAGUCUGAAGGUCAAAAGCACCACAGCGUCUCUGCCAGAGUGACUGGAGCACAUCAAAAAAAAAGGAAGGAGAGUUAAAAUAGAGGUAGAAUGUGGUACGGAGCGGGCAAUGGGAAACAUCUUAAGCACCGGCAGCAGCGAAGGGAUUGAUCCUCCACCGAGCUGACAGUCGC